GACGAACGCUGGCGGCGCGCUUAACACAUGCAAGUCGAACGGAAAGGCCUGCUUUCCCUUGUGGAUUGCGGGUACUCGAGUGGCGAACGGGUGAGUAACACGUGAGUGAUCUGCCCCCAACUUGGGUAUAAGCCUGGGAAACUGGGUCUAAUUCCCGAUAGGACUGCAGGGUGGUGCCUGUGGUGGAAAACGAUUUUCUAGUGGUUGGGGAUGAGCUCGCGGCCUAUCAGCUUGUUGGUGGGGUAAUGGCCUACCAAGGCGGCGACGGGUAGCCGGCCUGAGAGGGUGGACGGCCACAUUGGGACUGAGAUACGGCCCAGACUCCGACGGGAGGCAGCAGUGGGGAAUAUUGCACAAUGGGCGGAAGCCUGAUGCAGCGACGCCGCGUGGGGGAUGACGGCCUUCGGGUUGUAAACUCCUUUCGACCGCGAGGAAGCCACCUGGUUGGAAGGGUGGUGACGGUAGUGGUAGAAGAAGCACCGGCUAACUACGUG
rnacentral:rRNA from 1 species